AAAGUCGUAACAAGGUUUCCGUAGGUGAACCUGCGGAAGGAUCAUUACAUACAAAUAUGCCGUUUGGGGCCGCAAGGCUCCAAAUGGGUACACAUAUGUUCGGAGUCGUAAGGCUUCCGUAACACAUUGACGCUUGAUUUGUUUGUCAGAGUAAGAAUAAGCAUAAACCAUGACAACUUUUAACAAUGGAUCUCUUGGCUCUU
rnacentral:misc_RNA from 1 species